rnacentral:rRNA from 1 species
CGCGUAGGCGGGCGAUCAAGUCAGGGGUGAAAUCCUCCGGCUCAACCGGAGAACAGCCUUUGAUACUGGUCGCCUCGAGGGAGGUAGGGGCAUGUGGAACUUCCGGUGGAGCGGUGAAAUGCGUAGAUAUCGGAAGGAACGCCGGUGGCGAAAGCGACGUGCUGGACCUCUUCUGACGCUGAGGCGCGAAAGCCAGGGGGGUAAAC